rnacentral:lncRNA from 14 species
AGUUCCUAGUGCUUCAUACUUCAAGUAUAGGUGGGGUUUAGUGGCAGCCGCCUCCCCCAGCCAGCCGGUAGAGCUCAGGCAGCUUCUCUCUGUGCUCCCAGGCUCCAGGUGUGCCCUGCCUGGCCAGCCACCACAGGUGACUCCUGGCUGCCUUUCACCUGAACGCCACCAUCUUGCCACUGCUAGUGAGUGCCCCAGGUCAGGCUGCUACCUCCUCGUCUUCUUGUGCUCCAUGGGCAAGAGGUCUUGGUCUUUUCUGAUGCCUUACAGAGCCUGAUCCAGCCUUCUCAGGUUUGUCAGGAGCCGUGUGGGGGAAAAACAACGCACUGGAUGUUGAAUUGGACUUUCCUCCUUUCUGGGAUGAGAGGAUGUUAUCUAUCCCGUGCCAAGAGGGAGCUGAGGUGCAGGGGGAGGGGAAGGAAGUCUUCAAAACUAGCCCGCCAUGGUGAGUACCCUGCGAACAGCCCAAGGGGGCAACCCGGGGGCU